GAUGAACGCUGGCGGCGUGCCUAAUACAUGCAAGUCGAGCGAACGGACGAGAAGCUUGCGUCUCUGAUGUUAGCGGCGGACGGGUGAGUAACACGUGUAUAACCUACCUAUAAUACUGGGAUAACUUCGGGAAACCGGAGCUAAUACCGGAGGAUAUUUUGAACCGCAUGGUUCAAAAGUGAAAUACGGUCUUUCGGUCACGUAUAGAUGGAUUCGCGCUGCAUUAGCUAGUUGGUAAGUUAACGGCUUACCAAGGCAACGAUGCAUAAACGACCGGAGAGGGUGAUAGGCCACAUUAGAACGGAGACACGGUCCAGACUCCUAAGGGAGGCACCAGUCGGGAACGUUCGGCAAUGGGCGAGAGCCUGACGGAGCAACGCCGCGUGAGUGAUGGAGGUCUUCGGAGCGUAAAACUCUGUUACUAGGGAAGAACCUCUGUGUAAGUAACUGUGCACAUAUUGACGGUAACUAAUAAGAAAGCCACGGCUAACUACGUG
rnacentral:rRNA from 1 species